rnacentral:rRNA from 1 species
GACGAACGCUGGCGGCGUGCCUAAUACAUGCAAGUCGAGCGGACGAAUCGAAAGCUUGCUUUUGAUUCGUUAGCGGCGGACGGGUGAGUAACACGUGGGCAACCUGCCCUGUAGACGGGGAUAACACCGAGAAAUCGGUGCUAAUACCGGAUAACACGAAAUGUCGCAUGACGUUUCGUUGAAAGACGGCGCAAGCUGUCGCUACAGGAUGGGCCCGCGGCGCAUUAGCUAGUUGGUGAGGUAACGGCUCACCAAGGCGACGAUGCGUAGCCGCCCUGAGGGGGUGAUCGGCCACCCUGGGACUGAGACACGGCCCAGACUCCUACGGGAGGCAGCAGUAGGGAAUCUUCCGCAAUGGACGAAAGUCUGACGGAGCAACGCCGCGUGAGCGAAGAAGGCCUUCGGGUCGUAAAGCUCUGUUGUUAGGGAAGAACAAGUAACGCAGUAACUGGCGUUACCGUGACGGUACCUAACGAGAAAGCCACGGCUAACUACGUG